GCGUCGGUGGUGCAACGAUUUAACACAUGUUCCUGGAAAGAGUAAGAUCUGGGUUUGAAUCCCGGCCGGCGCA